AAUGAUGAUGAUUCUUCAAAGAAUCACUGAGAAUCCAUGAAAAAUAGCUUGAAUUUGUGUAGUUUCUGUUUCUGGAAAAGGUUAGGUUUACGCCAUUGAUGAAUGUUGAAGCUUUUUCUGUUUUGAUUUGUAACUGACAAGAGAGAGAGUGUGACUCUGUGUUUAUGAGUUGGCACUUGAUGAAUGGAAAAACGUGUGAAAUUCAUUGCCACU
rnacentral:lncRNA from 1 species